rnacentral:rRNA from 1 species
UACGUAGGGAGCAAGCGUUGUCCGGAAUCAUUGGGCGUAAAGCGCGCGUAGGCGGCCCCGUAAGUCCGCUGUGAAAGUCAAAGGCUCAACCUUUGAAAGCCGGUGGAUACUGUGGGGCUAGAGGCCGGAAGAGGCGAGUGGAAUUCCUGGUGUAGCGGUGGAAUGCGCAGAUAUCAGGAGGAACACCAAUUGCGAAGGCAGCUCGCUGGGACGUAACUGACGCUGAGACGCGAAAGCGUGGGGAGCAAACAGG